CUAAGUUUGGGCAGUAUGCUAGUAAUUUGUUCUGGAAGGAGCAGAACGUCGGCGCUGCAGAAGUCCUCACCUCACCUGUCGAGGGCCAGAGGAUUCCAUCACACCUGCGUUUCCCGGCAACAGCCAGGUGAAGAGCUGGUGAGUCUGGCUCUAUGGUGGGGCAGGCCGGUCUGGCUGUGAGCUGUUCUUCCCGGCCUGAUUCCUCCCGUGGUCUGGACUGGAGAAUUCCAGAAAGCCUACCCUGUCAAGCAGGGGGGUCAUGUGACGAUAUCCCAGCAUGCUCGCUGUUUUUGUUAUCCAAUCGAUAUGGAGCCUGGUAUUACUGCGUAUUGAAUAUUUAACAUUGAUCAGAGGGGCACACCCAGGCACCUGUUCACCAGAGCCAGGACACCCAGCCUUCCCGAGGACCGGGAACGGACGGUUUUCCGAUACCGGCUCGCCUGCCGGAGCCUUUUCCGGGAAUGGUAGCCGUCAGUUACUCCAGCCUACUGACACACAUCACUAAACUGAAUGUGAAGCAAAAUAUGUGAUUAAAACGUUUCAUAAUCGUACACUGCGGUUGUCAUACGUUUUCAGACAGAUGUACAUGUAUA